AAAGUGGAGCAAUCCAUGAGUACAGUGGCGCACGGGUGAGUAACACGUGACUAACCUACCCUGGAGUGGGGGAUAACUGAGGGAAACCUUAGCUAAUACUGCAUAAUACCUACGGGUCAAAGGAGCAAUUCGCUUUGGGAGGGGGUCGCGGCCGAUUAGUUAGUUGGCGGGGUAAUGGCCCACCAAGACAGUGAUCGGUAUCCGGCCUGAGAGGGCGCACGGACACACUGGAACUGAAACACGGUCCAGACUCCUACGGGAGGCAGCAGUGGGGAAUUUUGCGCAAUGGGGGAAACCCUGACGCAGCAACGCCGCGUGGAGGAUGAAGUCCUUCGGGACGUAAACUCCUUUCGAUCGGGACGAUAAUGACGGUACCGGAAGAAGAAGCCCCGGCUAACUUCGUGCCAGCAGCCGCGGUAAUACGAGGGGGGCGAGCGUUGUUCGGAAUUAUUGGGCGUAAAGGGUGCGUAGGCGGUUUGGUAAGUCUUAUGUGAAAUCUAUGGGCUCAACUCAUAGACUGCAUGAGAAACUGCCGGGCUUGAGUAUGGGAGAGGUGAGUGGAAUUCCUGGUGUAGCGGUGAAAUGCGUAGAUAUCAGGAGGAACACCUGUGGCGAAAGCGGCUCACUGGACCAUAACUGACGCUGAUGCACGAAAGCUAGGGGAGCAAACAGGAUUAGAUACCCUGGUAGUCCUAGCCCUAAACGAUGACUGCUUGGUGUGACGGGUACCCAAUCCCGCCGUGCCGUAGCUAACGCGUUAAGCAGUCCGCCUGGGGAGUACGGUCGCAAGGCUGAAACUC
rnacentral:rRNA from 1 species